GCAUAUCAAUAAGCGGAGGAAAAGAAACCAACAGGGAUUGCCCCAGUAACGGCGAGUGAAGCGGCAACAGCUCAAAUUUGAAAUCUGGCCCUCGGGUCCGAGUUGUAAUUUGUAGAGGAUGCUUUUGGCGCGGUGCCUUCCGAGUUCCCUGGAACGGGACGCCAUAGAGGGUGAGAGCCCCGUCUGGUUGGACACCAAGCCUCUGUAAAGCUCCUUCGACGAGUCGAGUAGUUUGGGAAUGCUGCUCUAAAUGGGAGGUAUAUGUCUUCUAAAGCUAAAUACCGGCCAGAGACCGAUAGCGCACAAGUAGAGUGAUCGAAAGAUGAAAAGCACUUUGAAAAGAGGGUUAAAUAGUACGUGAAAUUGUUGAAAGGGAAGCGUUUAUGACCAGACUUGGGCUUGGUUGAUCAUCCGGCGUUCUCGCCGGUGCACUCUUCCAGUCCAGGCCAGCAUCAGUUCGUCGCGGGGGAUAAAGGCAGCGGGAACGUGGCUCCUCCGGGAGUGUUAUAGCCCGUUGUGUAAUACCCUGCCUCGGACUGAGGUUCGCGCUUCCGCAAGGAUGCUGGCGUAAUGGUCAUCAACGACCCGUCUUGAAACACGGACCAAGGAGUCGUCUUCGUAUGCGAGUGUUCGGGUGUCAAACCCCUACGCGUAAUGAAAGUGAACGCAGGUGAGAGCUUCGGCGCAUCAUCGACCGAUCCUGAUGUUCUCGGAUGGAUUUGAGUAAGAGCAUACGGGGCCGGACCCGAAAGAAGGUGAACUAUGCCUGUAUAGGGUGAAGCCAGAGGAAACUCUGGUGGAGGCUCGCAGCGGUUCUGACGUGCAAAUCGAUCGUCAAAUAUGGGCAUGGGGGCGAAAGACUAAUCGAACCUUCUAGUAGCUGGGUUUCCGCCGA
rnacentral:rRNA from 1 species